UACAGAGGUCCCGAGCGUUGUUCGGAUUCAUUGGGCGUAAAGGGUGCGUAGGCGGCGGGGCCAGUCUGAUGUGAAAUCCCGGGGCUCAACCCCGGAACUGCAUUGGAUACUGCCUUGCUCGAGUACUGGAGAGGGAACUGGAAUUUACGGUGUAGCAGUGAAAUGCGUAGAGAUCGUAAGGAAGGCCAGUGGCGAAGGCGAGUUCCUGGACAGUUACUGACGCUGAGGAGCGAAAGCCAGGGGAGCAAACGGGAUUAGAUACCCCGUAGUCAGUCCAAGAUCCAGUCUCGUGACCUGACCGAUAC
rnacentral:rRNA from 1 species